rnacentral:rRNA from 1 species
CAGUAGCCACGGUAAUACGAAGGGGGCUAGCGUUGUUCGGAUUAACUGGGCGUAAAAGGCGCGUAGGCGGGUUUUUAAGUCAGAGGUGAAAUCCCAAGGCUCAACCUUGGAACUGCCUUUGAUACUGGAAGUCUUGAGUCCGGGAGAGGUGAGUGGAACUGCGAGUGUAGAGGUGAAAUUCGUAGAUAUUCGCAAGAACACCAGUGGCGAAGGCGGCUCACUGGCCCGGUACUGACGCUGAGGUGCGAAAGCGUGGGGAGCAAACAGGAUUAGAUACCCCUGUAGUCCCUGUCUCUUAUAU